AAAUUGAAGAGUUUGAUCAUGGCUCAGAUUGAACGCUGGCGGCAGGCCUAACACAUGCAAGUCGAACGGUAACAGAAAGCAGCUUGCUGCUUUGCUGACGAGUGGCGGACGGGUGAGUAAUGUCUGGGAAACUGCCUGAUGGAGGGGGAUAACUACUGGAAACGGUAGCUAAUACCGCAUAACGUCGCAAGACCAAAGAGGGGGACCUUCGGGCCUCUUGCCAUCGGAUGUGCCCAGAUGGGAUUAGCUAGUAGGUGGGGUAACGGCUCACCUAGGCGACGAUCCCUAGCUGGUCUGAGAGGAUGACCAGCCACACUGGAACUGAGACACGGUCCAGACUCCUACGGGAGGCAGCAGUGG
rnacentral:rRNA from 1 species